ACUGGGAUAGCUGGGUCAAAAGGUAAUUCCAUUCCAAAUUUUCCAAGAAAUCUCCAUACUGCUUUCCAGAUUGGUUGCACCAAUUUACAGUCCCAACAGCAAU
rnacentral:pre_miRNA from 1 species